rnacentral:rRNA from 1 species
ACGGGUGCGUAACGCGUGGGAAUCUGCCCUUGGGUUCGGAAUAACUCGCCGAAAGGCGUGCUAAUACCGGAUAAUGUCGCAAGACCAAAGAUUUAUUGCCCGAGGAUGAGCCCGCGUAGGAUUAGCUAGUUGGUGUGGUAAAGGCGCACCAAGGCGACGAUCCUUAGCUGGUCUGAGAGGAUGAUCAGCCACACUGGGACUGAGACACGGCCCAGACUCCUACGGGAGGCAGCAGUGGGGAAUAUUGGACAAUGGGCGAAAGCCUGAUCCAGCAAUGCCGCGUGAGUGAUGAAGGCCUUAGGGUUGUAAAGCUCUUUUACCCGGGAUGAUAAUGACCGUACCGGGAGAAUAAGCCCCGGCUAACUCCGUGCC